GGGCGUUAAGUUGCAGGGUAUAGACCCGAAACCCGGUGAUCUAGCCAUGGGCAGGUUGAAGGUUGGGUAACACUAACUGGAGGACCGAACCGACUAAUGUUGAAAAAUUAGCGGAUGACCUGUGGCUGGGGGUGAAAGGCCAAUCAAACCGGGAGAUAGCUGGUUCUCCCCGAAAGCUAUUUAGGUAGCGCCUCGUGAAUUCAUCUCCGGGGGUAGAGCACUGUUUCGGCUAGGGGGCCAUCCCGGCUUACCAACCCGAUGCAAACUGCGAAUACCGGAGAAUGUUAUCACGGGAGACACACGGCGGGUGCUAACGUCCGUCGUGAAGAGGGAAACAACCCAGACCGCCAGCUAAGGUCCCAAAGUCAUGGUUAAGUGGGAAACGAUGUGGGAAGGCCCAGACAGCCAGGAUGUUGGCUUAGAAGCAGCCAUCAUUUAAAGAAAGCGUAAUAGCUCACUGGUCGAGUCGGCCUGCGCGGAAGAUGUAACGGGGCUAAACCAUGCACCGAAGCUGCGGCAGCGAACGUAUCACUUAAAGCGAUUCAGCGGGUUACGAUUGACGGAGCGAAGCGACGUCAAAGCGUAUACAAAGUCGAGUCGGUUUAAGGAUACGUUCGUUGGGUAGGGGAGCGUUCUGUAAGCCUGUGAAGGUGGCCUGUGAGGGUUGCUGGAGGUAUCAGAAGUGCGAAUGCUGACAUAAGUAACGAUAAAGCGGGUGAAAAGCCCGCUCGCCGGAAGACCAAGGGUUCCUGUCCAACGUUAAUCGGGGCAGGGUGAGUCGACCCCUAAGGCGAGGCCGAAAGGCGUAGUCGAUGGGAAACGGGUUAAUAUUCCCGUACUUGGUGUUACUGCGAAGGGGGGACGGAGAAGGCUAUGUUGGCCGGGCGACGGUUGUCCCGGUUUAAGCGUGUAGGUGUGUGUUCCAGGUAAAUCCGGUUCACUUUAACACUGAGGCGUGAUGACGAGGCACUACGGUGCUGAAGCAACAAAUGCCCUGCUUCCAGGAAAAGCCUCUAAGCAUCAGGUAACAUCAAAUCGUACCCCAAACCGACACAGGUGGUCAGGUAGAGAAUACCAAGGCGCUUGAGAGAACUCGGGUGAAGGAACUAGGCAAAAUGGUGCCGUAACUUCGGGAGAAGGCACGCUGACACGUAGGUGAAGUGAUUUACUCACGGAGCUGAAGUCAGUCGAAGAUACCAGCUGGCUGCAACUGUUUAUUAAAAACACAGCACUGUGCAAACACGAAAGUGGACGUAUACGGUGUGACGCCUGCCCGGUGCCGGAAGGUUAAUUGAUGGGG
rnacentral:rRNA from 1 species